UUACGGCCACAUCACGUUGAAACACCAGCUCUCACACGAUCACUGAAGUUAAGCAGAGUAGAACCUGCUCAGUAGCUAGAUGGAUGACCACUUGGGAAUACCAGGUUCUGUCAG